CACCGCGGUUAUACGAGAGGCCCAAGUUGAUAGACAUUCGGCGUAAAGAGUGGUUAAUAAUUGUUUAAACUAAAGCCGAACGCUCUCAGAACUGUUAUACGUACUCGAGAGUAAGAAGCCCCACCACGAAAGUGGCUUUACCCGCUUGACCCCACGAAAGCUGAGAAA
rnacentral:rRNA from 1 species